UACGUAUGGUGCGAACGUUGUUCGGAAUCACUGGGCAUAAAGAGCACGUAGGCGGUUAAGCAAGUCCAUUGUGAAAUCCCCCGGCCUAACCGGGGAACUGCAUUGGAUACUACUUGACUUGAGUGCAGGAGGGGAGAGUGGAAUUCCAGGUGGAGCGGUGAAAUGCGUAGAUAUCUGGAGGAACGCCGGCGGCGAAAGCGACUCUCUGGUCUGGUAACUGACGCUGAGGUGCGAAAGCUAGGG
rnacentral:rRNA from 1 species